GAUGAACGCUGGCGGCGUGCCUAAUACAUGCAAGUCGAGCGAACGGACGAGAAGCUUGCUUCUCUGAUGUUAGCGGCGGACGGGUGAGUAACACGUGGAUAACCUACCUAUAAGACUGGGAUAACUUCGGGAAACCGGAGCUAAUACCGGAUAAUAUUUUGAACCGCAUGGUUCAAAAGUGAAAGACGGUCUUGCUGUCACUUAUAGAUGGAUCCGCGCUGCAUUAGCUAGUUGGUAAGGUAACGGCUUACCAAGGCAACGAUGCAUAGCCGACCUGGGAGGGUGAUCGGCCACACUGGAACUGAGACACGGUCCAGACUCCUACGGGAGGCAGCAGUAGGGAAUCUUCCGCAAUGGGCGAAAGCCUGACGGAGCAACGCCGCGUGAGUGAUGAAGGUCUUCGGAUCGUAAAACUCUGUUAUUAGGGAAGAACAAAUGUGUAAGUAACUGUGCACCUCUUGACGGUACCUAAUCAGAAAGCCACGGCUAACUACGUG
rnacentral:rRNA from 1 species